UACGGGGGGGGCAAGCGUUGUUCGGAAUUACUGGGCGUAAAGGGCUCGUAGGCGGCCAACUAAGUCGGACGUGAAAUCCCCAGGCUCAACCUGGGAACUGCGUCCGAUACUGGAUGGCUUGAAUCCGGGAGAGGGAUGCAGAAUUCCAGGUGUAGCGGUGAAAUGCGUAGAUAUCUGGAGGAAUACCGGUGGCGAAGGCGGCAGCCCGGACCGGCAUUGACGCUGAGGAGCGAAAGCCAGGGGAGCAAACGGG
rnacentral:rRNA from 1 species